AACGUAGGUGGCGAGCGUUAUCCGGAUUUACUGGGCGUAAAGCGUGUGCAGGCGGGGAGACAAGUGGUGUAUGAAAUUUCCCGGCUUAACCGGGAAGGGUUAUGCCAGACUGUCUUUCUGGAGUGCGAGAGAGGGGCGUGGAAUUCCCAGUGUAGCGGUGAAAUGCGUAGAUAUUGGGAGGAGCACCAGUGGCGAAGGCGGCUACCUGGACCGGUUCUGACGCUGAGGCGCGAAAGCGAUGGGUAGCAAACGAGGA
rnacentral:rRNA from 1 species